rnacentral:rRNA from 1 species
UCCUACGGGAGGCAGCAGUGGGGAAUCUUGCGCAAUGGGCGAAAGCCUGACGCAGCAACGCCGCGUGCGGGAUGACGGCCUUCGUGGUUGUAAACCGCUUUCAGCAGGGACGAAAAUGACGGUACCUGCAGAAGAAGCUCCGGCUAACUACGUGCCAGCAGCCGCGGUAAUACGUAGGGGGCAAGCGUUGUCCGGAAUCAUUGGGCGUAAAGAGCUCGUAGGCGGUUCAGUAAGUCGGGUGUGAAAGCUCCGAGCUCAACUCGGAGAGGCCACUCGAUACUGCUGUGACUAGAAUCCAGUAGGGGAGUGUGGAAUUCCUGGUGUAGCGGUGAAAUGCGCAGAUAUCAGGAGGAACACCAGCGGCGAAGGCGGCACUCUGGGCUGGUAUUGACGCUGAGGAGCGAAAGUGUGGGUAGCAAACAGGAUUAGAUACCCGAGUAGUC